UGAGGAAUAUUGGUCAAUGGGCGCAAGCCUGAACCAGCCAUGCCGCGUGCAGGAAGAAUGCCCUAUGGGUUGUAAACUGCUUUUAUUUGGGAAUAAACCCAGGGUCGUGCACCCUGGCUGAAGGUACCAAAUGAAUAAGCACCGGCUAACUCCGUGCCAGCAGCCGCGGUAAUACGGAGGGUGCAAGCGUUAUCCGGAAUCAUUGGGUUUAAAGGGUCCGCAGGCGGGCUUAUAAGUCAGUGGUGAAAGCCUACAGCUCAACUGUAGAACUGCCAUUGAUACUGUAAGUCUUGAAUUCGGUCGAAGUGGGCGGAAUAUGACAUGUAGCGGUGAAAUGCUUAGAUAUGUCAUAGAACACCGAUAGCGAAGGCAGCUCACUAGGCCUGGAUUGACGCUCAGGGACGAAAGCGUGGGGAUCAAACAGGAUUAGAUACCCUGGUAGUCCACGCCGUAAACUAUGAUUACUCGUUUUCGGCACUUAAGUGUGUCGGAGACCAAGCGAAAGUGAUAAGUAAU
rnacentral:rRNA from 1 species